rnacentral:rRNA from 1 species
AACGCGGGAAAUCUUACCGGGUCCGGACACACUGAGGAUUGACAGGCAAUAUUAAUACGUUUUGCUUCGGUAACAUCGUAUUAUGUUAAAUAUGCUAGUCCUUUCAUGAUUAUGUGAUAGGUGGUGCAUGGCCGUUCUUAGUUCGUGGAGUGAUCUGUCUGCUUAAUUGCGUUUCACUAAGGGCCUAUAAAUUUACGUGUGUUGCAUCGCACUUUGACCCCUUUCUUUAAUUAGAGAGCGCGUGUCUUAGUUUUCGCUUUGCUCAUACAAUUAGGUCCUGAAAGCAACGAACGUGACCGCAACCUCUUGUUGCCUUUAUACCAAACAUGUUUUGCGUCAAUUUUCGAAUUGCGCGCAUUUCAUGAAAAAAGGCUUUUUAAACUAGAGGGACCGCUGUUACUUUCUUAAACCAGAGGAAGGUUGCGGCAAUAACAGGUCUGUGAUGCCCUUAGAUGUUCCGGGCUGCACACGUGCUACAAUGAUUAUUGCAGUGAGCAUCUCAUUUUUACACACCGCAUGCGCGAGUCCAUUUAUUCACCUUCGGGUGUUUUAAAUGUGUAUCUCUGCGCGCGGUAAAGCCUGCUUCGACUAGUAAGUGGGUAAUCAAUUAGAAGUAAUGAUUUCCUUUUUUUUAGCACACAUAUAUACGGCGUCUAUGCCCGGGUUACCUUGUUGUAGCUUUUGUGCGUAUAGAUGUUUUUUCCGUAUGUGCGAUUGUCAAUUCAUGGUGGGGACAGACCAUUGUUAAUUGUUGGUCUCGGUCUUAACUAGGAAUGCCUUGUACGGGUCUUUGGUUCAACAAACCACCCGGAAUACGUCCCUGCCCUUUGUACACACCGCCCGUCGCUCUUACCGAUGGACUUCUCUGUGAGUUUGAGGGACUGGGAACGCAGGAAUUUAUUUCUGCACACCUAUGGAAACUUUAAACGAACAGUGUGGCCUUAAAGGAAAGAGAAGUCGUAACAAGGCAUA